rnacentral:rRNA from 1 species
UAGUGGCGGACGGGUGAGUAACGCGUGGGUAACCUGCCUUAUACAGGGGGAUAACAGUCAGAAAUGACUGCUAAUACCGCAUAAGCGCACAGGACCGCAUGGUCCGGUGUGAAAAACUCCGGUGGUAUAAGAUGGACCCGCGUUGGAUUAGCUUGUUGGUGAGGUAACGGCUCACCAAGGCGACGAUCCAUAGCCGGCCUGAGAGGGUGAACGGCCACAUUGGGACUGAGACACGGCCCAGACUCCUACGGGAGGCAGCAGUGGGGGAUAUUGCACAAUGGGGGAAACCCUGAUGCAGCGACGCCGCGUGGAGGAAGAAGGUUUUCGGAUUGUAAACUCCUGUCGUUAGGGACGAUAAUGACGGUACCUAACAAGAAAGCACCGGCUAACUACGUGCCAGCAGCCGCGGUAAAACGUAGGGUGCAAGCGUUGUCCGGAAUUACUGGGUGUAAAGGGAGCGCAGGCGGGAAGACAAGUUGGAAGUGAAAACCAUGGGCUCAACCCAUGAAUUGCUUUCAAAACUGUUUUUCUUGAGUAGUGCAGAGGUAGAUGGAAUUCCCGGUGUAGCGGUGGAAUGCGUAGAUAUCGGGAGGAACACCAGUGGCGAAGGCGGUCUACUGGGCACCAACUGACGCUGAGGCUCGAAAGCAUGGGUAGCAAACCAGGAUUAGAUACCCUGGUAGUCCAUGCCGUAAACGAUGAUUACUAGGUGUUGGGGGAUUGACCCCCUCAGUGCCGCAGUUAACACAAUAAGUAAUCCACCUGGGGAGUACGACCGCAAGGUUGAAACUCAAAGGAAUUGACGGGGGCCCGCACAAGCAGUGGAGUAUGUGGUUUAAUUCGAAGCAACGCGAAGAACCUUACCAGGUCUUGACAUCCGAUGCAUAACACAGAGAUGUGUGAAAUCCUUCGGGACAUCGAGACAGGUGGUGCAUGGUUGUCGUCAGCUCGUGUCGUGAGAUGUUGGGUUAAGUCCCGCAACGAGCGCAACCCUUAUCUUCAGUUACUAACGCGUAGAGGUGAGGACUCUGAAGAGACUGCCGGGGACAACUCGGAGGAAGGUGGGGACGACGUCAAAUCAUCAUGCCCCUUAUGACCUGGGCUACACACGUGCUACAAUGGCCACGACAGAGAGAAGCGAAAUCGCAAGGUAGAGCGGAACUCAAAAAAGUGGUCCCAGUUCGGAUUGUGGGCUGCAACCCGCCCACAUGAAGUCGGAGUUGCUAGUAAUCGCGGAUCAGCAUGCCGCGGUGAAUACGUUCCCGGGCCUUGUACACACCGCCCGUCA